rnacentral:misc_RNA from 1 species
UCCGGCUUAUCACCGGCGGUUUCUUUAGAGUGCCCAACUAAAUGAUGGCAACUAAAGACGAGGGUUGCGCUCGUUGCGGGACUUAACCCAACAUCUCACGACACGAGCUGACGACAGCCAUGCACCACCUGUGCACUGGUCCCGAAGGACACCGUAUCUCUACGGCUUUUCCCUACAUGUCAAGCCCAGGUAAGGUUCUUCGCGUCGCAUCGAAUUAAGCCACAUGCUCCGCCGCUUGUGCGGGCCCCCGUCAAUUCCCUUGAGUUUUAAUCUUGCGACCGUACUUCCCAGGCGGCAUGUUUAACGCGUUGGCUACGCCACAAAAGGGGUCGAUUCCUUUUACAGCAAACAUGCACCGUUUACGGCUAGGACUAC